rnacentral:rRNA from 1 species
CCGCGCGCCUAAUACAUGCAAGUCGAACGGACGGUAGCAAUACCGYCAGUGGCGAACGGGUGAGUAACGCGUUGGUGACCUGCCCCAAAGAGCGGGAUAACAGAUCGAAAGGUCUGCUAAUACCGCAUGUGCAACUGGGAGAUUMGAAACCUGGUUGGAAAGGGAGAAAUCCGCUUUGGGAGGGGCCUGCGUCCCAUCAGCUAGUUGGUAAGGUAAAGGCUUACCAAGGCGAAGACGGGUAGGGGACCUGAGAGGGUGACCCCCCACAAUGGAACUGAAACACGGUCCAUACACCUACGGGUGGCAGCAGUAGGGAAUAUUGCUUAAUGGGCGAAAGCCUGAAGCAGCAACGCCGCGUGUGCGAUGAAGGCCUUCGGGUUGUAAAGCACUUUUUGUCGGGAAGAGGAAGGACGGUACCGGCAGAAUAAGCCUCGGCUAACUACGUGCCAGCAGCCGCGGUAAAACGUAGGAGGCGAGCGUUAUCCGGAUUUACUGGGUGUAAAGCGCGUGCAGGCGGUUUGUUAAGUUGGGUGUGAAAGCUCCUGGCUCAACUGGGAGAGGUCGCCCAAGACUGGCAGACUAGAGAGCAGUAGGGGAAGGUGGAAUUCCGGGUGUAGUGGUGAAAUGCGUAGAUAUCCGGAGGAACACCAGUGGCGAAGGCGGCCUUCUAGGCUGCAUCUGACGCUCAGACGCGAAAGCUAGGGUAGCAAACGGGAUUAGAGACCCCGGUAGUCCUAGCCGUAAACGAUGUGAACUUGGCGCUGGGUGGGUAAAACCAGUCAGUGCCGAAGCAAACGCGAUAAGUUCACCACCUGGGGACUACGGCCGCAAGGUUAAAACUCAAAGGAAUUGACGGGGGCCCGCACAAGCGGCGGAGCAUGCGGAUUAAUUCGAUGCAACGCGAAGAACCUUACCUGGGUUUGACAUAUACCGGAAACAUCUGGAGACAGGUGCCCCGCAAGGUCGGUAUACAGGUGGUGCAUGGCUGUCGUCAGCUCGUGUCGUGAGAUGUUGGGUUAAGUCCCGCAACGAGCGCAACCCUCGUUCUAUGUUGCCAGCGGUUCGGCCGGGAACUCAUAGAAGACUGCCGGGGUCAACUCGGAGGAAGGUGGGGAUGACGUCAAGUCAUCAUGCCCCUUAUGUCCAGGGCUUCACGCAUGCUACAAUGGCCGGUACAAAGAGUUGCGAGCCUGUGAGGGUGAGCGAAUCUCAAAAAGCCGGUCUCAGUUCGGAUUGGGGUCUGCAACUCGACCCCAUGAAGUCGGAGUCGCUAGUAAUCGCAGAUCAGCAACGCUGCGGUGAAUACGUUCCCGGGGCUUGUACACACCGCCCGUCAAGUCAUGAAAGUCGGUAACACCCGAAGCCGUGGCCUAACCCGUUUGGGGGGGAGCUGUCGAAGGUGGGACUGGUAAUUAGGACUAAGUCGUAACAAGGUAG